GCAGGACCAAGCAAGCAGUAUGCUGGCUGUAGAAACAGCUGGGGCAGGGAGGGGACCUGGGCCCUCCCUCCCGGGCUGAAAGCCUCCUCCUGUUUCUGCAGGAAAUCUCUGGAGAGGCUGCAGAGAGCUAUCAUAGGUAGCUCCCUCCUGAGUGGGGAAAUGAGGCACAGACACAGGGAGAAGACAACCCCUCCAACUGGGAGGGAAGAUUCAUGAAUGUUCUGGGUACAGAAUUCACCAGGGUCCAAUCUCUGGGAUAAUCAAUCUGCACUGUGACGAGUCUGGGAACAUCCGUUCUUAUCCUGCUGGCUGGGACGCUGGAGUCUGUACCUGAUGGAAAUGGAGAAAUCUAUGGGGACAACGUGAUCCCCUUUCCCUCUGUUGAAAGACAAU
rnacentral:lncRNA from 1 species